AGAGUAUAGCUCAGUGGUAGAGUACAUGCUUAGCAUGCAUGAGGUUCUGGGUUCAACUCCCAGCACCUCUG
rnacentral:tRNA from 1 species